AAUAGGAAGUAUUCUAUUUGAUAAAAAAAAUACCGUUUGAAGGUAUUAAUCGAUUACAACAACAGUGUCCUGUUUAGUUUGAUUACACACAACUGAUAAGAUUGCCUUUAUCUUUAUGUUCGACACCAUAUUUAUUAGUAAUUUUCAGUUACUUUUGUUAAUUUAAGUAAAAUGUUUAAAACACCUGAAGCAGAUGUGGCAGAAAGGGAAUUAAAUAUAAGUGCCAGUAGCUUACAAGUUAGUGCAAAAAUGGAGCUACCAGUUUUUUCAGAUGAUAAUCCUGUUGUUACACAACAACCAACUUCUACUAAUGAUGCCACAGAUGCAGCCUCUAAAGUCAGACGACCAAUUCCUGUUUCAACAAUAGACUGGCGUACCACAAAUUUAUCUCAGUUUAUUCCCUUAAGAGGGAUAGACUUCUUAAAUGGUGCUGAACAACUUCUUAUUACGCAAACAGUUGAACUAAGUGCCCUCUUAUCAAGUGUAGAAUCAGAAAAUCGUUAUACAAUAAAAGUUCCGAAUGGGGAAACUUUAUUUUAUGCAUGUGAAAACUCCACAGGUUGUCAGAGAACAUGUUUUGGUUCAAGUAGAUCAUUUUCAUUAAGACUGUUUGAUCAAACUCAACAGGAAGCAUUGGAAAUAAGAAGGAGAUUAGCUUGUGGAAAUUGUUCAUUUCUAUGUUAUUUACAAGUCGUGGAAGUAUGGGCUGCUCCAGGGGAAUUUAUAGGAACAGUUAAGCAACAGUUCAGCUUCGAUACCCCAACAUAUUUAGUAUAUGAUGAACAAGUUAAUCAAUUGUACAGAAUAGAAGGUCCAAAAUCUUUUGGAUGUUUUGUACCUCUUAAAGAAGCACAUUUUAAGAUAUAUAGUCCUGAUGGAAUGACACAGUUGGGAAGUAUUUAUCAUCAGUGGGAUCAAGUACAAGUCGCAUACAACUUGGGUGUGCAGUUUCCUAGUCGAAAUACUGAUUCCAAACACAAAGCUCUACUUUUGGGAGCAGCUUUUCUAUUAGAAUACAUCUAUUUUGAGAGAACUAAAAGAACGAGAUGCUGUCCCUGCACUUGUUAGAACAAAAAUAAAUGCUAAUAAGGCAUAUCACUGAAUAACUAAUUAAGUAUAUUCUGAGUUUAAACACUCUUGUUAUCCUAUAUUAUUGUGCUAUUAUUAAUGUUAAAAGUAACGAGAUUAAUAUAUUUAUUAAAAUUAACAAACAUUGAAUAAAAACAUUAUUAUUUCACUAUUUGUCUGAUUAUAGAUAAAUGUAAGAAAAUAAAGGUAUAAACAUUCGUCGUACACUUAAAUAAAUAAGUUCUUAAGCCCAGAAAUGUAAAUGUGUAUGAUCUACUUGAAAUUGAAUUCUUUGUAUGAUAGAUAAGAUAAACUUUAGUGGCGAUUAUCAGUCGGCGCAAAUAGGUAUUUAUAUUGUUUUGUAUUUACUUGUUAAAAAAUAGGCGCAUUAUGUAGAUGAUAUGAAAUAACUAGUACUUUUUGUGUCACACUUAAACAUCUUACGAAAGUUUUAUUCCAAGUACUAUUAUUACUGCAACAUAUAAUUAAAAAUUGGGUCAUAAAUUUCUUCACAGUACACAAACAAAUUCGGCUUUUACUUCAAGUCAUUUUAAUCAAUAAUUUAUCAUUCAAGGCAAUAAAAAUGCAGUCAUUUCCUUUAUUUCCACAAGGCUUUGAGGUUUAUUAACAAAUAUUAUUUUUAUUUUCUAUACAAAAAGUUGACGAAGAAAAUGGAGUUUCUAACAUAACUGCUUGUUUCACUUUAAAUAGAAGUGAUAAACAGCCCGAUCGUGUUGAAAUUUCAC